UUCAGCAGUCUUUUUUUCCCAUGCUUCUCUACGCUUUCCCAGGCGAGCUUCUCUUUCCUCAGCAGUCUCCUCGAACAAACGUUGUCGUCUUCGCUGGCUUCCUCCUCUUAGCGAUGCGUUCGGCUUUCUUUUCGUUUCCUUGCCGCUCUUCAUUUGGCUCCAUACAGUAGUCCAUAUCUUUUCAAUUGGCAUUUGAUACCAUAAUUGUUUUAUUAAACUCUUUAUAGAGCAAAUUGCUUUGAAAGCUGUCAAAGUUUUUGCAAACGUACAAAAUACUGCAGUGCAAAAAGCAAAUUAUUUUCAUGAAGUA